CCCUAAAAAAAAAAAAGGGUCCAGCCUGCCCAGUGACAAAUGUUCAACGGCCGCGGUAUCCUAACCGUGCGAAGGUAGCGUAAUCACUUGUUCUUUAAAUGAGGACUAGUAUGAAUGGCACCACGAGGGUUGCACUGUCUCCUUUCCCUAAUCAAUGAAACUAAUCUCCCCGUGAAGAAGCGGGGGUACUAAUAUAAGACGAGAAGACCCUAUGGAGCUUUAAAUUUCUCUUCAAACGCCAGACACAAACAUCUGACACUUUACAUUAACCCGACGCCUUGAAGAUGAAUUUUAGGUUGGGGUGACCAUGGAGAACAAAAUAACCUCCACGCUGAAAAGGCCUCCAAGCCUUGAGCCGAGGGCUACAACCCAACGCACUAAAAAAUUAACACCCAUUGACCCAAUAUUUUUGAUCAACGAACCAAGUUACCCUAGGGAUAACAGCGCAAUCUACUUCAAGAGUCCCUAUCGACAAGUGGGUUUACGACCUCGAUGUUGGAUCAGGGUAUCCCAGUGGUGCAGCCGCUACUAAAGGUUCGUUUGUUCAACGAUUAAAACCCUACGUGAUCUGAGUUCAGACCGGA
rnacentral:rRNA from 1 species